AGGAUAAGGUUUUAUGCAAAGUGGGAACAGUUUCUGGAUAAUUGCUUGAGGUAUGAGUUGGAGUGGGCUACUAUUAGUAGUAAAAUUUUAUAGUUGCUACCAGUUUUUUAGCCUUUGGAUCAACUCUUUUCAUUAUUUCUAACCAUUGGAUUAAAUACUAUAACCCAAUAAGGACCACUCAACCCUAGGGGGACUACUCAACUCUAACCGACUAAUAUCAUUCUGAUCCUAUAAUUUUUCAUCCAAGGGUUAAAAACUUGAUAGCAAAAAAAGCAUUUUACUAUUAAUAGUAUUCUAGUCUAAUUAUAUAUAUAUAUAUAUAUAUAUAUAUAUANNNNNNNNNNNNNNNNAUAUAUAGGGCAUGGCUGCUGUGCUCUCAGAAGCACGGAGGCCUCCAUGCUUCUGAGCCGUUUUCGAUGAUAAAAUUUUCGAAUCGACGAUCGACUCCGUUAGACAUGAUCUAGAGUAUUUGAAGUUUAUAGAAAAUAUUUUUUGCGAUUUUUUGAUAUCAUUUACCUAGUGAUUGAAAGGAUUCAAAAUCAAUAAUUUUUAAUAGUUGAUAUCUACCAUUUUCAAGUUUAACGGUGUAGAAGUAUUCAAAUCAGAGAAAAUUUUGAUACAAAAUUCUUUAUACUAUCUACAACAAGAUUAAUAUUUCUGAUCGAAAAUUUUAGUGCUAUAUCAUCACUUUUUAUAGGAUUUUUAUUUUUAGCCGUUAAAAAUUAUUGAUUUUGAAUCCUUUCGAUUGCUAGAUAAAUGAUAUCGAAAAAUCGUAAAAAUUAUUUUCUAGAAACUUCAAAUACGUUAGAUCAAGUCUAACGGAGCCGAUCGUCGAUUCGAAAAUUCCAUUAUCGAAAAUGGCUCAGGAGCACGGAAGCCUCCGUACUCCUGAGAGCACAGCAGUUCUACUCUCUCUCUCUCUCUCUCUCUCUCUCUCUCUCUAUAUAU
rnacentral:lncRNA from 1 species